GAGGGUCGCGAGACCUCCCUAAUACCUUCAACCAACCCGCGUACCUACCCGAGGGGGCCCUAGCGGCCACAAAACAUGAUGCCUCGGUCGGCGGCCCCAGGGGGGGCCUCUGCCCGCGCGCCUUCCGGGGCGCGGGGGUGCCGGCCGGCGGCCAAACAAAACCUGACGUUAUAAUAACCAAUUCUUUACAAACCAAAACCAUUA
rnacentral:misc_RNA from 1 species